AACACUGUUAACCUGCGGUACCUGCGGAAGGAUCAUUAACAAGCUGUGGGAGAUCAAUUUGAUCUCACACCUGGCCAACCUUGUUAACCUUAAAUAUAUUGCUUUGGUGAGCCCUGCUCACCAAAGUCAAACCCUAAACUCUUGAUUGUUUCUGCUGUCUGAGCAUGCAAGUGCAAAAUUUAGUUAAAAACUUUCAACAAUGGAUCU
rnacentral:misc_RNA from 1 species